AUCCCAUGAUGAGGACAGGCAAGUAUGUAUUCUUGGAGUCUCUCCCAAGCUUCUGGGAUGGAUUUCAUCUCUGUCUAUUGGAAACUUGUAAUUCUUCUAUGUAGGAC